rnacentral:rRNA from 1 species
UAGGGAAUCUUCGGCAAUGGGGGCAACCCUGACCGAGCAACGCCGCGUGAGUGAAGAAGGUUUUCGGAUCGUAAAGCUCUGUUGUAAGAGAAGAACGUGUGUGAGAGUGGAAAGUUCACACAGUGACGGUAACUUACCAGAAAGGGACGGCUAACUACGUGCCAGCAGCCGCGGUAAUACGUAGGUCCCGAGCGUUGUCCGGAUUCAUUGGGCGUAAAGCGAGCGCAGGCGGUUUAAUAAGUCUGAAGUUAAAGGCAGUGGCUUAACCAUUGUUCGCUUUGGAAACUGUUAAACUUGAGUGCAGAAGGGGAGAGUGGAAUUCUAUGUGUAGCGGUGAAAUGCGUAGAUAUAUGGAGGAACACCGGUGGCGAAAGCGGCUCUCUGGUCUGUAACUGACGCUGAGGCUCGAAAGCGUGGGGAGCAAACAGG